rnacentral:rRNA from 1 species
GUUUGAUCCUGGCUCAGGAUGGACGCUAGCGGGAGGCUUAACACAUGCAAGUCGAGGGGUAUAGUAGCAAUACUAGAGACCGGCGCACGGGUGAGUAACGCGUAUGCAACCUGCCUUUUACAGGGGGAUAGCCCGUCGAAAGGCGGAUUAAUACCCCAUAAGAUGGUGCCUCCGCAUGGAGGAGCCAUAAAAGCUUCGGCGGUAAAUGAUGGGCAUGCGUGACAUUAGCUAGUUGGCAGGGUAACGGCCUACCAAGGCUGCGAUGUCUAGGGGUUCUGAGAGGAAGGUCCCCCACACUGGUACUGAGACACGGACCAGACUCCUACGGGAGGCAGCAGUGAGGAAUAUUGGUCAAUGGGCGCGAGCCUGAACCAGCCAUCCCGCGUGCAGGAAGAC